AUGCAGAAUGACUUUUGUUAUAUACACAUCUCUCAUUACAUUUUCUUAUAUUUCUGUUAUAGGCCGAGCACACAUUUGGGACAAGCUCUGGUUAACAGAUAUGUAAAGACUCAGAAGGCUCUGCAAAUGCAGCAACACAACAUGGAGGAACUGAAGACAGAGCUUUCAAUGCAUGAUGAUUGUGUUCAUCAGUGGGUUUCAGAUGGGCAGAAGAAAGUGACCGACAUGGGAGUGGUCAUAGACUGUUAGAAUAGAAGGUCUAACAGUCAGCAUCAAAAGGUGUACACAGCGUCUGUACAGUCAAACAGGUGAAACACAAACAUGAGGUGUUACAUUAUAUAUGUUUUUUUUUUUUGA
ensembl:lncRNA